GUAGGGAAUAUUGGGCAAUGGAGGCAACUCUGACCCAGCCAUGCCGCGUGCAGGAUGACGGCCCUCUGGGUUGUAAACUGCUUUUAUACGGGAAGAAAAAAUACUACGUGUAGUAUACUGACGGUACCGUAAGAAUAAGGAUCGGCUAACUCCGUGCCAGCAGCCGCGGUAAUACGGAGGAUCCAAGCGUUGUCCGGAUUUAUUGGGUUUAAAGGGUGCGUAGGCGGAUCUUUAAGUCAGUGGUUAAUGCCUGCAUCUUAACUGUAGAAUUGCCAUUGAAACUGAAGAUCUUGAAUGUGGUUAAAGUAGGCGGAAUGUAUCAUGUAGCGGUGGAAUGCUUAGAUAUGAUACAGAACACCGAUAGCGAAGGCAGCUUGCUGAACCAUUAUUGACGCUGAGGCACGAAAGCGUGGGGAGCGAACAGGAUUAGAUACCCCAGUAGUCC
rnacentral:rRNA from 1 species